GGAUGAACGCUGGCGGCGUGCUUAACACAUGCAAGUCGAACGGGAAACCUUUUAUUGAAGCUUCGGCAGAUUUAGCUGGUUUCUAGUGGCGGACGGGUGAGUAACGCGUGGGUAACCUGCCUUAUACAGGGGGAUAACAGUCAGAAAUGGCUGCUAAUACCGCAUAAGCGCACAGAGCUGCAUGGCUCAGUGUGAAAAACUCCGGUGGUAUAAGAUGGACCCGCGUUGGAUUAGCUGGUUGGUGGGGUAACGGCCCACCAAGGCGACGAUCCAUAGCCGGCCUGAGAGGGUGAACGGCCACAGUGGGACUGAGACACGGCCCAGACUCCUACGGGAGGCAGCAGUGGGGAAUAUUGCACAAUGGGGGAAACCCUGAUGCAGCGACGCCGCGUGAAGGAAGAAGUAUCUCGGUAUGUAAACUUCUAUCAGCAGGGAAGAUAAUGACGGUACCUGACUAAGAAGCCCCGGCUAACUACGUG
rnacentral:rRNA from 1 species